rnacentral:rRNA from 1 species
AACGAACGCUGGCGGCAGGCUUAACACAUGCAAGUCGAACGCCCCGCAAGGGGAGUGGCGCACGGGUGAGUAACGCGUGGAUAUCUGCCUUUUGGUUCGGAAUAACCCCGGGAAGCUGGGGCUAAUACCGGAUGGUUCCUACGGGAUAAAGAUUUAUCGCCAAAAGAUGAGUCCGCGUACGAUUAGCUAGUUGGUGAGGUAAUGGCUCACCAAGGCGACGAUCGUUAGCUGGUCUGAGAGGACGAUCAGCCACACUGGGACUGAGACACGGCCCAGACUCCUACGGGAGGCAGCAGUGGGGAAUAUUGGACAAUGGGGGCAACCCUGAUCCAGCCAUGCCGCGUGAGUGAUGAAGGCCUUCGGGUUGUAAAGCUCUUUUGGCGGGGACGAUGAUGACGGUACCCGCAGAAUAAGCCCCGGCUAACUUCGUG